AGAGUUUGAUCCUGGCUCAGGACGAACGCUGGCGGCGCGCCUAACACAUGCAAGUCGAACGAGCGAGAGAGAGCUUGCUUUCUCGAGCGAGUGGCGAACGGGUGAGUAACGCGUGAGGAACCUGCCUCAAAGAGGGGGACAACAGUUGGAAACGACUGCUAAUACCGCAUAAGCCCACGGCUCGGCAUCGAGCAGAGGGAAAAGGAGCAAUCCGCUUUGAGAUGGCCUCGCGUCCGAUUAGCUAGUUGGUGAGGUAACGGCCCACCAAGGCGACGAUCGGUAGCCGGACUGAGAGGUUGAACGGCCACAUUGGGACUGAGACACGGCUCAGACUCCUACGGGAGGCAGCAGUGGGGAAUAUUGCACAAUGGGGGAAACCCUGAUGCAGCGACGCCGCGUGGAGGAAGAAGGUCUUCGGAUUGUAAACUCCUGUUGUUGGGGAAGAUAAUGACGGUACCCAACAAGGAAGUGACGGCUAACUACGUGCCAGCAGCCGCGGUAAAACGUAGGUCACAAGCGUUGUCCGGAAUUACUGGGCGUAAAGCGUGCGUAGGCUGUUUCGUAAGUCGUGUGUGAAAGGCGCGGGCUCAACCCGCGGACGGCACAUGAUACUGCGAGACUAGAGUAAUGGAGGGGGAACCGGAAUUCUCGGUGUAGCAGUGAAAUGCGUAGAUAUCGGGAGGAACACCAGUGGCGAAGGCGGCCUACUGGGCACCAACUGACGCUGAGGCUCGAAAGUGUGGGUAGCAAACCAGGAUUAGAUACCCUGGUAGUCCACACCGUAAACGAUGAUUACUAGGUGUUGGAGGAUUGACCCCUUUCAGUCCGCCAGUUACCCCAAUAAGUAAUCCACCCUGGGGAGUACGACCGCAAGGUUGAAACUCAAAGGAAUUGACGGGGGCCCGCACAAGCAGUGGAGUAUGUGUUUAAUUCGACGCAACGCGAAGAACCUUACCAAGUCUUGACAUCCCUUGACAGACAUAGAAAUAUGUUUUCUCUUCGGAGCAAGGAGACUGGUGGUGCAUGGUUGUCGUCAGCUCGUGUCGUGAGAUGUUGGGUUAAGUCCCGCAACGAGCGCAACCCUUGCUAUUAGUUGCUACACAAGAGCACUCUAAUAGGACUGCCGUUGACAAAACGGAGGAAGGUGGGGACGACGUCAAAUCAUCAUGCCCCUUAUGACCUGGGCUACACACGUACUACAAUGGACAUUAACAGAGGGAAGCAAUACAGCGAUGUGGAGCAAACCCCUAAAAAUGUUCUCAGUUCAGAUUGCAGGCUGCAACCCGCCUGUAUGAAGAUGGAAUUGCUAGUAAUCGCAGAUCAGCAUGCUGCGGUGAAUACGUUCCCGGGCCUUGUACACACCGCCCGUCA
rnacentral:rRNA from 1 species